UUCCAGGUUAGGAUCCACGCCUUCCAAGCGUGGGGUAAGGGUUCGACUCCCUU
rnacentral:tRNA from 1 species